rnacentral:rRNA from 1 species
UGGGGAAUUUUGGACAAUGGGCGCAAGCCUGAUCCAGCAAUGCCGCGUGCAGGAUGAAGGCCUUCGGGUUGUAAACUGCUUUUGUACGGAGCGAAAAGGUCUGCACUAAUACGGUGGGCUCAUGACGGUACCGUAAGAAUAAGCACCGGCUAACUACGUGCCAGCAGCCGCGGUAGUACGUAGGGUGCGAGCGUUAAUCGGAAUUACUGGGCGUAAAGCGUGCGCAGGCGGUUAUAUAAGACAGAUGUGAAAUCCCCGGGCUCAACCUGGGACCUGCAUUAGUGACUGUAUAGCUAGAGUACGGUAGAGGGGGAUGGAAUUCCGCGUGUAGCAGUGAAAUGCGUAGAUAUGCGGAGGAACACCGAUGGCGAAGGCAAUCCCCUGGACCUGUACUGACGCUCAUGCACGAAAGCGUGGGGAGCAAACA